UAGAUGCUGGGCUUCUAAUUGGACAUGCUGUGUCAGAGAGCAGAGCAGGGGCUUCCAACACACUGCACAGGCUGCAUGUUUAGACUCUGUGACGCAUUUUAGAGAGAAAGUGAGAAACAACAGUGACACUUUCGCAUCCUGUGAUUAAGCCCCAGGAGUCAGCUAUCGGUGCUGUUAUUUUACAGUUACAGCUCUGUCAACUGUCACUCAGAUUGUGUUCCUAAAUGCCCUUGGGCAUCAACGGACAUAUUUCCAGAAACACUCUGCGAUGUCCUCAGGGCGUGCUGAGAACACAGAUGCCUUCUUUCAGACAAAUAUGAAAACCACCAUCCUGUGAGCUCCAAGAGGGCAUGGAACACAGCUUCUUCUGUCUUGAAUAAUUCAAUCAGUUCAAGAAACAUUUGGUGGAGAAGCAAAUGACCGAAUGAAUUCGUAGUAGAUGGUUAUUCACAUGGCACUUUCUGUCAUUACUACAGAUUGAUUCUACCAGAGGGCAGGACUUCAAGUAAGCCUUGUGUACAACUGGUACCUUCCAUGUGUCCAUAUUUCCAGAUUCUGGAAUUGGGACAAGCAGAGCAAGCUCUUGUAUUCAGCCCAUGGAGGCCAUUUCCUCAACCCCAGCCACCUGAUUACAUGGGAAAUGGGCUUUCAUCCAUCUUAGCCAAUUUCCAGGUUUCCCGGCUGCCUGAAAUCAUCUGCAUCCCUCCUCUGCAGAAUUAAUCAAGAUCUCCUCCACUGCUCCUUGAGAACAGUCUCUGACAGCCCAUUGCAUUUAGAUGGAGGAUUCUUGACUUUGGGGGAAGAUGAAGAGUAAUGAAGCGGUUCAGAGGAAGGAAUUCACUGUUGCGGGAGAAAACCAGGAUUUUAUCUCCCGGGGCUUUUGACUGAUAUUGUUAAAGGACCACAACCCCGACUUGAGCUGAUGGAUGCUAGGGAGGGAGACACAGGGAAUUUAGAGAUUUCAGAGUUGAGGUCCGGGAACAAAAAUGCCCAAAAGGGACUCUGAAACGUCUCUUUCACUAAGAACACUCGAAUUGGCUCAGCAGCCAAGAUGGCUGGGAGCCUUGGGGCUGGCAGCGAUUUCGGGGUUAGCUUUAGAGGCCCCUGGCUCCUCUGACCCACGGCUGCUGCGUUGAGGGCAUCUUCAGCGUCGUGCUCUGGACACCCACGCGUCGUGACAUUUCAGCCUUGUUCCCGAGUCUCAUUAGGACAGAGCCAGGGGAUGACGGUAAUGAAUGGCUGCGCCUCCGUGAAUCCAUAAUGUGCAAAUUGCUUCCGCCGUGCGCCUUGGUGCAGAGCUGCGCGGGGAGACUGAUGAUUAAACCGUGAACCUGGCCUCCGGCUGGGGCGCCGGCGGCUCGCGCCCGGAAUGAGGUGUUCGCUUCCAUUCAGAUCUGCGGCCGAUCCGCCCGAGCCUGUGGGCCCCAGCGGACCGUGACUCACGUCUUAUUCCCUGUAGCCGCGUGUGUUUUGACUUUCAAUUCAUCCGUCUGACGCCACGCCGGGGCUGAAGUCAAGACAGCCUGUGGCAGAAGCAGCUUCCCAGAAGAAAUUCCACCCCCGCCAGAGGGAGGCUGGAGAGGCGAGCUUGCUCCCAGCAGUUACGCAAACACUCCUUUCUUCCCUUUUCUAGUUGUGAAGAGGCUGCAAAUGACUUGCCUUGCAGGGGCAUCCUG